rnacentral:rRNA from 1 species
UACGUAGGGGGCAAGCGUUGUCCGGAAUCAUUGGGCGUAAAGAGCGUGUAGGCGGCCAGAUAAGUCCGCUGUGAAAUCUCGAGGCUCAACUUCGAGCUGUCGGUGGAAACUGUCUGGCUAGAGUCCGGAAGAGGAGAAUGGAAUUCCUGGUGUAGCGGUGAAAUGCGCAGAUAUCAGGAAGAACACCCGUGGCGAAGGCGGUUCUCUGGGACGGUACUGACGCUGAGACGCGAAAGCGUGGGGAGCGACACGAUGAUGAACCCAGUAA